CAAUGGGGGAAACCCUGAUGCAGCAACGCCGCGUGAGCGACGAAGGCCUUCGGGUUGUAAAGCUCUGUCUUCGCUGACGAAACAAUGACGGUAAGCGAGGAGGAAGCCACGGCUAACUACGUGCCAGCAGCCGCGGUAAUACGUAGGUGGCAAGCGUUGUCCGGAAUUAUUGGGCGUAAAGGGUGCGUAGGCGGUCUUUUAAGUGGGAUGUGAAAUACCUAGGCUUAACUUAGGAAUGGCAUUCCAAACUGGAAGACUAGAGUGCAGGAGAGGAAAGUGGAAUUCCCAGUGUAGCGGUGAAAUGCGUAGAGAUUGGGAGGAACACCAGUGGCGAAGGCGACUUUCUGGACUGUAACUGACGCUGAGGCACGAAAGCGUGGGGAGCAAACAGGAUUAGAUACCCUGGUAGUCCACGCUGUAAACUAUGAGUACUAGGUGUGGGGGGCGAAGCCCUCUGUGCCGCAGUUAACACAAUAAGUACUCCGCCUGGGAAGUACGA
rnacentral:rRNA from 1 species